rnacentral:lncRNA from 1 species
ACUCACCUUUAAGGAAGUAGACCCGCGGGCCGGCGGGCAGGCAGGCCAGCAGCGAGGUGAGCACGACGCGCGCGGCGCUCUCCUCCCGCAGCUUCUGCCAGUGGCGGCUACCCUAGCACGUAGCGCGCCGACACCGCGCCGCCCCGGGCCCGCCGCAGCACCACCGAGUUGAGGUUGACGUUGAGCGAGCCGCGCACGCUCGACGCGGCGAAGGCCAGGUAGGGCCGGCAGUCGAGCACCACGCAGCGCGCCUCCGCCUCCUUGCGGAGCAUCUUGCGCAGCUGGCGCCCGUCGAGCGACGUGACCUUCA